CAGUCGCCACGGGAAUACAGAGGGUGCGAGCGUUAAUCGGAUUUACUGGGCGUAAAGCGUGCGUAGGCGGCUUUUUAAGUCGGAUGUGAAAUCCCUGAGCUUAACUUAGGAAUUGCAUUCGAUACUGGGAAGCUAGAGUAUGGGAGAGGAUGGUAGAAUUCCAGGUGUAGCGGUGAAAUGCGUAGAGAUCUGGAGGAAUACCGGUGGCGAAGGCGGCCCCCUGGACAAAGACUGACGCUCAGGUGCGAAAGCGUGGGGAGCAAACAGGAUUAGAUACCCGAGUAGUCCCUGUCUCUUAUAC
rnacentral:rRNA from 1 species